rnacentral:lncRNA from 1 species
UCCAUCGAUCGGCCGUGAGGAGGGAGCUUGUGUGAUCGAUAAGGGACGUUGUAACUUCAAGGCGAGUCUCCCUUCACUCACCUUUUCUCACUACCAAGUCCAUUUUUGGUUGGUGCAUCUUUUUCCCUGUCCAUCACCAUAAAUAGCAUAACCUUGCAACCAAGUCCCUAACAUUUUGCAGUCAACACCCACAACGUUUUAUUUUCUUACAAACAAGGACAAAUUUUUGACAAGUCGUGGGAUUUUCGGCCAGAAAUUUCGGCAGCAUAACGCGUUGAGAACAAAUGCAUCCGCAGUGGCACUGCUUGAGCGAAAGCAUUUUGUGGUUCAAAAGGUGGACUAAUACAUAAAUGAAAUAAAACUUUAACUAGUCAUUGGAAUUUCCCCUUGAAAUUUUGGCAGCAUAACACGCGGCAACACAUGAGUGAAAAGCGGCUUUUGCUACAGAGGCAAAACUAGCAUUGCUGCCGGGCUUUCCUGAAUCAUCAGAGUGACUAGCUGAACCUCUUCCUAGGUGUACUUGUUGAGCUUGCAUGGAAAUCAUCAGUAUGCGUGAUAAUCAUGGGACGUGGCAACCUGUAAUAAGUUAGCUGGACAAACCAGCAAGCAAAGAAUUCCCAAGAUAGAAUUAUCUUUACUAGAUUCUUCGUUAUGUUAAGGGCAUGCCCAAAAAUUUAUAUCGACUGAUUGAUGGAAAUCACAAGGUCUCAAUGCAGCUUACUACUACUGGGAACAAACAAAAAAAGAACCGAAGGAAGAAAGACUUCUGCUAAGAUGAAGGCAAUUGGUUUUAUUAACUAACUAUAUAUGCCCAUGGGGCCAAAGCACCAUGUAACACAAAUUAAGUUGAUAAAUCUCUUAUGAUCUAUGAGAACUAACAAAGCAAACACGACAAUGUACUAUUCCAGCAGUUCACGGACAUUUUUUACAGAAAAAUAUUAUUAGUAUUGUUAGUUUUCAUCUUGACAUUAACUUGUGUGUGGGAGUCUGGACGUUUAUAUUUCCUAUGCAUGUAUGUGUGUUUUGAAGGAAUGUGGAUUUCAUGGACUAUUGGUUGGAAUCUACAUAUUGCUGAAAAACUAAGACAUAUAUAAAAUUUCCACUAACCUUUGCUUGGAUGAACUCGUGUGGAUCUUCUGAAUCAAACACCCAUCGUGUGCACAGCUAGCCCAUCGCUCUUAACAGAACUUCCUGGCUUUUUUGCUGUGCUGCUUGUGCAGAAGGGUACUUUUUGCCCCCAUCGCUGCCUCAUCUGCUACAUAGAUACACACAGAACAAGUUUGGUAAUUUUUCCACUGGACCGAGGACUAGUAACUAGUAAGGCAUUGAUGCACAAGCAUGAAAGCCAAAAUUGUGGCUAUAGCAUAUAUGGGGAGGUACGAGUAGUGCUUCUCAAGUAGUAUUAGAUAUAAAUCGUUUUGUACCUAUGUAUUUUACUCAUAGUUAUUUCAGCACCUAUGUAUUUUGAUAACAGUCAGUUUCCGUAAUCUUAUUUACUCUGGCGUGGAGGUGGAACGUGUGUAGUGAAGCAUAUAUAUUGUUUCUGCAAAUGAUCUAUCUUCUAGUAGUGCAAAAAAUCUGUAAUUUUAGCCUAACUAUUCAAGGCCGUACGUACUGGCUACUAGCUGUGAGUGCCUUUUGCGUGUGUGAAAAACUUGAGUCAACUUAUCAAUUAACAUCGGCAACUUGGAGAUUGAUUUAAGAAGCAUAACCAAAACACAUGCAUAUAUGUUCCUGUCGCUAUGUUUGUUUGGCAUAGCUACUGGCUAGCAAUGAAAUGCAGCAGGUAAAAGUAACUAAUUAAGAGACAACAACUUUCAGAGCAACUGUUUGCUGAGCUGGAGGCAUGGAUGAUCUAUAGUUUGAGACCAACUAUUUUCAGAGCCCCAGGUAAAAACAAAGUUCCCCUUCAUUCAAAACAUAAUCUACAACCUCCCAAUUUUCUACGGAGAAGCCUUACAUCCUUGUACACAGAUUUUUACACAUAAAAGGAAUCGAACACAUGUCAAUCCAUAUACAGAUUUUUCCACUGACCUUGCUUGAAUUGACGCAGAUGUCUGCAUUGUCCUCGACUGAAACAUGUAUACUUUUGUAUCACGCCUAGUGCCCGGCUUUUAGUUGUGCUCUUGCCCGGUCCGCACCUCCAGCUUCCAUGUCAAUAGAUGCAUCACCAGGUCAAAACAAAAAACAAAAACAAAAAAGGGGGCAUCAGGCGAUUGACUGGUUUCCUUAAAAGUAGACUGGGAUGGAGCAAGCAUGGUGUGCGUAGCCUUUACAUAGAGUAGAGGGUGGGGCAAACAGGCAAG